UCGCUUUACCAGGGAAAAACUCAGCGGUGGGGGGGAAGAGGGAGAGGAGCGCUUGGUUUUUCUCUUUUAUUGGCAUUUGGGACCAGCGCAGCCAAAGUUGCCCCUCGGAUGCCAGCGCUGCAAUUUUCCAGCGCCUAAACACACAGGGGGUAGAUUUGGAAAUUCAUUUCUCGCAGUCAGCAAAUAUUACCCAGACGUUUCUCAGUUAAUAACGACUCCGAACCCUCCCGGCCCCUCCAGAGCCCCCCGCAAUUCCAGCUGGAUUUCCCCCCAGCCCUCCAUCCUCUCUUUCCCCACCUCAAUUUUUAAUUUUUUCUCCCUAUUUUGCCCCUCCCAGGUCGCUGCUGCUUCCCCGCUGCGGGGCUGGACGCCAGAAAGGUGAAUUUUGGGAGGGUUCCACUCCAGCUGAGCGACAAAAUUCAACCUCCCCAGCACCAAAAAAAAGGGGAAAGUUGAAAUAUUUCACUUUUUCUGCAUUAGUUAAAAAAGAAACAACAAAACCCCGCGUUAAAAUGAUCAGUGGGGAUGAGCGGGGAACGGAGGAAGGCAGAGAGAAAGAAAACAAAGAUAGCAACGGAAUAAAACUUUAAACCCAUCCUUAGAGAAAUAAUUUAAGUAAAUUCGCUUCCUUUAUUUUGUGGAGGGAUAAUUCCAGCCGAGUCUAAGAGCUUUUUUCGGGUAAUUAUUGCUGCUGGAGCACUUGCAGCGCGAUAAUUAAAGCUUUUCUCGCCCCUCUACAAGACGAGUUAACGUUUUCUUUUCUCUCCGCACUUUUAUUGUCGAUUGAGCAGAUUUGAGUUUCAUCUCGCAACAUUAAAAGCCCCGAAAAUGGAGCAGAGAAGUAAAUAGAGCUUCGCAGCCCGGCGUGGAAUAUUCAAGCCGCGCGGCUUCACGAGCAAUAAAACGUCAAACGGAUUUGGAGAGGGAAUCCCAGGAAUUGGAAAAAGGAACCGCGAGUGAGACCCGAGCUGCAGAACUCUUCCAGGACGACAAAAUCGAAUUAAAAAAAAUAAUAAAUUUUAAUUUUAAAAUUGAAAAACCUCACGGAAGAAAGAGCGACACGAGCUCCAGCACAGAAACACGAGCACGAAACACGCGGCACAAACACGGGACCGACCUCAGCUAAACCCCCCCCGCCCCUCCCCCUCCUCCCUCCCCAAAAAAAAAAAACAAAAUUAAUUUUUCACAGAGAUAAAAGAAACCAAAAUCCCAGCCCGGAUAACUCCAGAUUUGGGGUUUUUUUGAGGUUUUUUGCUGAUUUUUUGCGGAUUUUUACUGAUUUUUUGAGGAUUUUUACUGAUUUUUUGAGGAUUUUUUGGGAAUUUUGCUGAAUUUUUUUGCGGAUUUUUUUUUGCCCAUUUUUGUGCAUUUUUGAGGGGGUUUUAAGGAUUUUUUUUUGUCGAUAUUUGCGGGUUUUUGCAAUUUUUUGCGGCUUUUUUGCGCAUUUUUCCUGAAUUAUUUGCGGAUUUUUGCUGAAGUUUUGAGGAUUUUUUUUGGCGGAUUUUUGCUGAAGUUUUGAGGAUUUUUUUCUGAUUUUUCACAGAUUUUUUUUUGCGGAUUUCUUUUUGCGGAUUUUUUGCUGAAGUUUUUCCUGAUUUUUUUUUUUUUGCGGGUUUUUAGCUGAUUUUUUUUUUUGCGGAUUCUUGUCGAAUUUUACUCAUUUUUGCCAAUUUUUUGAGGAUGAGGAUGGAGAAACUCCAGGUCCUUCCUUGGGGGACAUUU